GAUGAACGCUAGCGGCAGGCCUAAUACAUGCAAGUCGAGGGGUAGUGGUUGCUUGCAGCCAUGAGACCGGCGCACGGGUGCGUAACGCGUAUGCAACCUACCUUCAUCUGUGGGAUAGCCCGGAGAACUCCGGAUUAAUACUGCAUAAAAUCACAGUACGGCAUCGUACACUGAUCAAACAUUUAUGGGAUGGAGAUGGGCAGUCGUGUCAUUAGUUAGUGGGGGGGGUAACGGCCCACCAAGACGCGAUGACUAGGGGAUCUGUGAGGAUGUCCCCCCACACUGGUGCUGGGACACGGACCAGACUCCUACGGGAGGCAGCAGUAAGGAAUAUUGGUCAAUGGGCGCAAGCCUGAACCAGCCAUGCCGCGUGCAGGAAGACGGCCCUCUGGGUUGUAAACUGCUUUUAUUCGGGAAUAAACCUGCUUACGUGUAAGUAGCUGAAUGUACCGAAGGAAUAAGGAUCGGCUAACUCCGUGCCAGCCGCCGCAGUAAUAC
rnacentral:rRNA from 1 species